UUCCCUUUCUGCUUCCACCCCUCGGGGGCUGACGGGAAGGAACGAGGCGGAAGGGGGUGCGGAUGCCUCGGUAAGAUGGCGGCGACGCUGCGGAUCCAGAGCGACUGGAGUCAGGUGCUGAGGAGGGAUGAGGGUGAGGCCUGGCUGAGCUGCCGGAGCCCUGGAAAACCAACCCUGUACGGCAGCCUGACCCGCCGUGGGCUCAGCACCGAGGGCGUCCCCGACAUCGCUGCUUCCGAGGGCUUCGUGGUUGGGGAGGUCACGAAGAAAAGCAUCGUCAUUUCUUGUCCUCGUGAAAAUGUGUCCACAAAGUUCCUGGCCCCGUACACAACUUUUUGUGGAAUUCAUCAGAAAAGUGUUACCUGUCUUGACAUUUCCAGUGGCGGAGGCCUUGGCGUCUCCACCAGCACAGACGGGACCAUGAAAAUCUGGCAGGCGGCGAAUGGAGAAAUAAGAAGACUUUUGGAAGGCCAUGUGUAUGAUGUGAAUUGUUGCAGGUUUUUCCCGUCGGGCCUCGUGGUUCUGAGCGGGGGAAUGGAUGCCCAGCUCAAGGUCUGGUCAGCGGAAGACGCCAGCUGCGUAGUCACGUUUAAAGGUCACAAAGGAGGGAUUUUGGACACUGCCAUUGUGGAUCGGGGAAGAAACGUCCUUUCCUGCUCCAGAGACGGCACCGCCCGUCUCUGGGACUGCGGAAAAUCCGCCUGUCUGGGCGUCAUCGCCGACUGCGGCUCUCCCAUCAACGGCAUUGCCGUGGGCACCGCCGACGACUCGCUGAACCUGGGCUCGCCUGAAAAACCUCCUAGUGAUCGUGAGAUUGGGACAGAAGGGAAGAUCCUGCUGCUGGCCCGAGAAGACAAGAAGCUUCAAGGAGUGGGACUGCAGAGCAGGCAGCCGGUGUUCCUCUUCGUCGGAUCCGACGCCUUCAACUGCUGCACAUUCCUCUCAAGCACCUACAUCCUCGCAGGGACUCAGGACGGGAACAUCUAUCAGCUGGAUGUGCGGAACACCAACACUCCAAUCCAGGUCAUCCACAGAUCGGGGGCACCGGUGCUUUCGCUGCUCCCGUACCGAGACGGAUUUGUUGCCAGCCAAGGUGAUGGAACCUGCUUUGUCAUUCAGCAAGACCUCGAUUACGUCCUCGAUCUCACCGAAGCAGACUGCGACCCUGUGUACAAGGUAGCUUCUUGGGAGAAGCAAAUUUACACGUGCUGCAGGGACGGGAUAGUGAGGAGAUACCAACUUUCCGACCUUUAAACAUUUACAUCGGCCAAAUAGAGAAAAGACGCGUCAAAAUUCCUUUUCCAAGCCAGUUUUCCUGUGUUUGAGACGCGUUUCUAGAAAUUUCUGAGCUGUAUAGGAGGUUUUGAGGCUGUUGUGAUCACCAGGACAUUUUUGAUGACAGCUACCGGAGACUGGCCUUGAAGAACCACCCUUUAAAAUGCAAGGAGCCCUGGGCGCCCGAGAGGUUCAGGCAGCUGGCGGAGGCCUAUGAUGUGCUGAGCGACCGUGAGUGGGAGAGAGUUCCACGGGGCCAUGGAAUCCGCUGGGUUGGAAAAGACCUUUAAGGCCAUUGAGGCCAAGCGUUAACCCACCCCAUCCCUGCCCCAUGUCCUGAGAACCUCAUGUCCGUCUGUCCAGCCCUCCAGGGAUGGUGACUCCAGCACUGCCCUGGGCAGCCUGUUCCAAUGCCCCACAGCCCUUUGGGGAAGAAAUUGUUCCCACAUCCAACCUCAACCUCC